GUUUGUAUGUAUAUUAUAUUAUAUACUUUUUCCUAUAAAUAAGAAAGUUCUGAAUUCCUUUUUGAUGAUCAAAAUAAACUCUAUGGGAGGUAGAUCCAUGAAGAAGAUUAAUGGCUACACGUCCACCGGUACCCUGUUUCAUAUAUAUCUCAUUAUUUUUCUUGCUACUUCCCCAACCUCUCCGUUGGUAGAAGCAAGAGUAUUACAAGGGUCGCAAAGCAACCUAUUUACGAGGAUUGAUGGAUAUUAUGCUGGCCGCCCCGAGACACCACCGCCACCACCUCCAGGAGUGGCACCAGCACCCCACACCUCAUCUACAUUCAUCCAACAGAGUUCUAUCUCUUUCUACUCUCCCACCUAUGCAUCGACUCGUUGAACAUGCAGAUAAUUAAUAUUAACUGUGCACCGUCCAAUUAUGAUUAAAGUAUAAUAAAUUGAUCUCUUAAAUCUGUUGUACUGGACCUACCGGUGCUGUAAUUAAGUGAUCAAUUAGUACUACAGCAUUGAACAAUUGCUUUUCAAUAUUCCUCUUAACUUUUUAUUUUCAAACUCCUGAUCACUGUAUUAUGGAAAUAAUGAGCUUGCCAUCGAGAUGUUUGCUUCAAAUAAUUCACUCAGUUUGUAAUUUUGUUUUAAUAGUUAAUUAGUAUUUGUGCACGUAUUUCCUUUGCUA